UUUUCCGGUUGAUCCUGCCGGACCUGACUGCUAUCGGAUUGGUACUAAGCCAUGCGAGUCGUUGUACAAUACAAGGCGGACUGCUCAGUAACACGUAGUUAACUUAACCUAUGGAUGGGAAUAACCUCGGGAAACUGAGAAUAAUACCCAAUGGGCCACAGUGCCUGGAAUGGCCUGUGGUUGAAAUGAUUUAUCGCCGUAGGAUAGGACUGCGGCCUAUCAGCUUGUUGGUGAGGUAAUGGCCCACCAAGGCUAUAACAGGUACGGGCUCUGAGAGGAGGGGCCCGGAGAUGGGUACUGAGACACGGACCCAGGCCCUAUGGGGCGCAGCAGGCGAGAAACCUUUGCAAUGUGCGAAAGCACGACAAGGCUAAUCCGAGUGUCUCCUGCUAAAGGAGUCUUUUGUCAGUUGUAGAAUCACUGGUGAAUAAGGGGUGGGCAAGUUCUGGUGUCAGCCGCCGCGGUAAAACCAGCACCUCGAGUGGUCAGGAGGUUUAUUAGGCCUAAAGCAUCCGUAGCCGGUUGCAUAAGUUUUCGGUUAAAUCUAUGCGCUUAACGUAUAGGCCGNCGAAAAUACUGUGCAGCUAGGGAGUGGGAGAGGUACACGGUAC
rnacentral:rRNA from 1 species